UUUAUUGGAGAGUUUGAUCCUGGCUCAGGAUGAACGCUGGCGGCGUGCCUAAUACAUGCAAGUCGAGCGAAUGGAUUAAGAGCUUGCUCUUAUGA
rnacentral:rRNA from 1 species